rnacentral:lncRNA from 1 species
UCUGUCACGCCCCGAACCCGGGGCCCGGGGCGCGAGCAGACGCCGCGCACCUGCAGGGCGGACCCCGCAGGCACGCAAGGCAGAUAAAUCAGAUCAACCAUCAAUAGCUAAACAAAGAUAAAUUCCAGUUUCCAUAUCAAAUGUCCAUAAAUAUAUACACAUGUACAAAAGGAAAGUCAAUGUCUACUAGCUAAAUACAUCAUGAUCACUCCGUCCCAUAAUCCCUAUAAU